AUUGAACGCUGGCGGCAUGCCUUACACAUGCAAGUCGAACGGCAGCACGGGUGCUUGCACCUAGUGGCGAGUGGCGAACGGGUGAGUAAUAUAUCGGAACGUACCUUAUUGUGGGGGAUAACGCAGCGAAAGCUGUGCUAAUACCGCAUAAUCCCUAAGGGGGAAAGCGGGGGACCGUAAGGCCUCGCGCAAUUAGAGCGGCCGAUACCUGAUUAGCUAGUUGGUGAGGUAAAGGCUCACCAAGGCAACGAUCAGUAGCUGGUCUGAGAGGACGAUCAGCCACACUGGGACUGGGACACGGCCCAGACUCCUACGGGAGGCAGCAGUGGGGAAUUUUGGACAAUGGGGGCAACCCUGAUCCAGCAAUGCCGCGUGAGUGAAGAAGGCCUUCGGGUUGUAAAGCUCUUUUGUCAGGGAAGAAACAGCAGCUCUAACACAGUAUGCGAAUGACGGUACCUGAAGAAUAAGCACCGGCUAACUACGUGCCAGCCGCCGCAGUAA
rnacentral:rRNA from 1 species